rnacentral:rRNA from 1 species
AGCGAACGCUGGCGGCAGGCCUAACACAUGCAAGUCGAACGAACCUUUCGGGGUUAGUGGCGGACGGGUGAGUAACACGUGGGAACGUGCCUUUAGGUUCGGAAUAACUCAGGGAAACUUGUGCUAAUACCGAAUGUGCCCUUCGGGGGAAAGAGUUAUCGCCUUUAGAGGGGGCCGCGUCUGAUUAGCUAGUUGGUUGAGGUAAUGGCACACCAAGGCGACGAUCAGUAGCUGGGCUGAGAGGAUGAUCAGCCACAUUGGGACUGAGACACGGCCCAAACUCCUACGGGAGGCAGGAGUGGGGAAUCUUGCGCAAUGGGCGAAAGCCUGACGCAGCCAUGCCGCGUGAAUGAUGAAGGUCUUAGGAUUGUAAAAUUCUUUCACCGGGGACGAUAAUGACGGUACCCGGAGAAGAAGCCCCGGCUAACUUCGUGCCAGCCGCCGCGGUAA